UUUUUGCUGGUAAAGUGAGCAAAGUUUAACAGUCAAAAAUGUUUAUCAAUGGUUUAUGGCAGACUGGCUGUUGCUUGCUGAUGACAUCAUCAUCAACCGCAAGACGUCAUUGGCCGGUCGAUGCACGGAGCAUUGUGGGCAGUGUAGUUCAGGUUCACUUUGGACGUUACACUGUUACCGUCCACU